rnacentral:rRNA from 1 species
UUCCCAUACGGGUUGAAGCAUGACCGUAAGGACAUGGGGACAGUAUGGGAGUGAGAAUGUUGGCAUGAGUAGCGAGAUGUGGGUGAGAAUCCCACAGGCCGUAAACCCAAGGUUUCCAGGGGAAGGUGCGUCCGCCCUGGGUUAGUCGGGACCUAAGCUGAGGCCGAAAGGCGUAGGUGAUGGACAACAGGUUGAUAUUCCUGUACUACCGAUAACC